rnacentral:lncRNA from 1 species
UACCCUGCGGCCCCAUGGCUCAGCCCCUUGGUGCCAUUGUAUGCCUGUCUGUCUGCUCUCCUCAGCCCUUGCUCCAGCCCUCUGCGGGUGCUGGGCCUUGCUGUCGGCAGACCCAAGUUUUCACUGUUAGGUGGAGGUGGGGGCUGGGGAGGGCUGGCCUGGCCCUUCUGCCCCUGCUUUGGCCUCAUUGGCUGGGACACAGGGGCCAGGCUGUGCUGACCUCUCAGCUCUCUUCUGGCUGGAGCCUGGACUCCUGUUCUGUGCUGCAUUCGAGUACCUGC